GUACUAUUGAAAUAUAUAUAUAUAUAUAGAGAGAGAGAGAGGGAGAGAGAGUCCCGCUAUGAUGUUUGUAAAAGCACCAAGUAUUUAGUAGUUGUAAAUUUUUUAUCGUUACAUCUUUCCCUUUGAUUAUUUUCACUAGUUAAACCAUGUUAUUUAACCAACUAUUCACUAAACCCUAGAGAUCUCACAUCAUCCUAACUGCACAUCCCUUAAUCUAAUGGUCAAAAAUUUACAAAUACCAAUAACAUGGUGCUUUUAAAAUAUAGGAGCUCAAUUAUAUAUGAGUCCGGCUAUGGUGCUUGUAAAAGUACUAAGCACUUGGUGCUUGUAAAUUUUUUUACCGUUAGAUCUAC
rnacentral:lncRNA from 1 species